UCUCCGUUGGUGAACCAGCGGAGGGAUCAUUACUGAGUUACUAACCUACAACCCUUUGUGAACAUACCUUACUGUCGCCUCGGCGGGCAAAGGUCCCUCGCGGAUCUCACCCGCCUACGCACUCACGGGCGGUGCGCUCGCCGGUUGAUACCAAACUAUAUUUUAACGACGUUACUUCUGGGUGGCGCAAUCAAAGAAUUACAACUACUAACAACGGAUCUCUCGGUUCUGACACCGAUGACUAACGCAGCAGAUCGUACGACCACACGCCUGAAAUCC
rnacentral:misc_RNA from 1 species